GUAGGUGAACCUGCGGAGGGAUCAUUACAGAGAAACUCGCCCGCAAGGGUGACUCUCCAACCCUAUGUUAAUUAUACCUUUGUUGCUUUGGCGAGCCGCUUCGGCCACCGGCUCACGCUGGUGAGUGCUCGCCAGAGGACCCUAACUCUGUUUAAUAAUGUCGUCUGAGUACUAUAUAAUAGUUAAAACUUUCAACAACGGAUCUCUUGGUUCUGGCAUCGAUGAAGAACGCAGCAUCUGACUGACUUCA
rnacentral:misc_RNA from 1 species